AUGCUGCUGGCAGUGCUCCUGGCCACGGCCGCCUGCUCUUAUGGAUAUGCACAAAAAAUUCCUGUGCAGAGUCCUGUGUCCAUCACCAGGUCCCAAAAAAGUGUGCGGAUGACCUGUGAAAUCAAAAGUUUAGGGGGAAAUUUUGAUAGCACCGUCAUACACUGGUACCUGCAGAAGGAGGGGAGAGCUCCAGAGCGGCUGCUGUACUUUACAGGAGGGCAAGCUUCCUUUGACAGUGGCUUUCAUCCAAACAGGUACAUGGUUGAAAAAGUUUCUGGCCAGAACCGGUGUGUUCUUACAAUAAAAGAUGUAACUCCAGAGGACGCUGCUACCUACUACUGUGCCUACUGGGAUCGGACGAGCUGGAUCAAAUACUUCGGCACGGGAACCAAGCUCAUCAUCUCUC